ensembl:lncRNA
AUGAGAAAGUAACCUGAUGAUCGAGAUUGGAUGAUCCACAAUAUUUCUCGAGCUGUUGGCUGUGGUACUCUGUUAUCACUGCCGUGUCGUCAUAAAGGGGAGGCGAUAUGAAGGACAACAUGACAUACUGAUGAAAACAAGGAUCAAAAUAAACACAGGUGACGUCUGGCGCACAGAGCACUCAGGAUGACCUCAUGCUGGGUCGCGGGGGAACCUGGAGCCUAUCCCAAGGAGCAUCGGGCACAAGGCAGGGUACACCCUGGACAGGGUGCCAGUCCAUCACAGGGCACACAAUCACACACACAUUCAUACACACAAAUCAGCCUACCAUGCAUGUCUUAUGAAGACAUGCUUCAACAGACUGGGGGAGGAAACCGGAGUACCUGGAGGAAACCCCCACAGCACGGGAGAACAUGCA